rnacentral:lncRNA from 10 species
GAAGCUCAGCACGCUGCCGAAAUCUCGGCAGUAUUUUUUCUUUUCUUUUUGCAUGUGAGAGAAAGGACAACAAAUUGCAGUUUUAUCCAUUUGUAUUAUUUCUUUAGAAAACUCAACACUCUUUUUGUUGGAGGUGGGGAAAUGAGAAGGUGAUGUUUUGUUUUGCUUUUUUUCCUAUUUUUUUUUUUUAAAGGAGGAGAAGAUGACAGUGUUCUCCCUAAGGAUGAAGUUUGACUUUUGAAACAUAUCACAUGCUUAAAGCACAUUUGAGCUCCUGCAUGAACAGUAAGCUAGCAGAUGGUAGAAAUAUUCUUUAUUAAUUCAAAAAAUAUUUACUGCGGACCUACAAUGUGCCAAGCAUGUCUCCUGACACUGGGGAUAAGCAGUGAACAACAACAAAAAGACAAACUUCUUCCACCCUGAGGCGUAUGUUCUCGGUCUUUGUGGGAAGAAACAAAUCACAAAAGCAAUUAAGAGAGCUCAAACAAUGGGGUUUAUGCCAGUUACAUACAAGGAUCCUGCAUAUUUCAGGGACCCUAAAGUUUAUAACAUCAGAUAUCCGGAAUAAAUUCCAUCACAUUACCACCAGUAAACUUAUUUUAUAAGAUGGGUCUCACUGUGUUGCCCAGGCUGGUCUCUAACUCCU